AACGAACGCUGGCGGCAUGCCUAACACAUGCAAGUCGAACGGACCCCAGGGCUUCGGCCCUGACGGUUAGUGGCGGACGGGUGAGUAACGCGUAGGAACCUGCCAAGCAGUGGGGAACAACAGCUGGAAACGGCUGCUAAUACCGCAUACGCCCUUCGGGGGAAAGAUUUAUCGCUGUUUGAGGGUCCUGCGUUCGAUUAGCUAGUUGGUGUGGUAAAGGCGCACCAAGGCGACGAUCGAUAGCUGGUCUGAGAGGAUGAUCAGCCACACUGGGACUGAGACACGGCCCAGACUCCUACGGGAGGCAGCAGUGGGGAAUAUUGGACAAUGGGGGAAACCCUGAUCCAGCAAUGCCGCGUGCGUGAAGAAGGCCCUAGGGUUGUAAAGCGCUUUCACCUGCGAUGAUGAUGACAGUAGCAGGAGAAGAAGCCCCGGCUAACUCCG
rnacentral:rRNA from 1 species